rnacentral:rRNA from 1 species
UACGUAGGGUGCAAGCGUUAAUCGGAAUUACUGGGCGUAAAGCGUGCGCAGGCGGUGAUGUAAGACAGGUGUGAAAUCCCCGGGCUUAACCUGGGAACUGCAUUUGUGACUGCAUCGCUGGAGUGCGGCAGAGGGGGAUGGAAUUCCGCGUGUAGCAGUGAAAUGCGUAGAUAUGCGGAGGAACACCGAUGGCGAAGGCAAUCCCCUGGGCCUGCACUGACGCUCAUACACGAAAGCGUGGGGAGCAAACAGGAUUAGAAACCCUGGUAGUCC